rnacentral:rRNA from 1 species
GAUGAACGCUGGCGGCGUGCCUAAUACAUGCAAGUCGAGCGAACAGACGAGGAGCUUGCUCCUUUGACGUUAGCGGCGGACGGGUGAGUAACACGUGGGUAACCUACCUAUAAGACUGGGAUAACUUCGGGAAACCGGAGCUAAUACCGGAUAAUAUUUCGAACCGCAUGGUUCGAUAGUGAAAGAUGGCUCUGCUAUCACUUAUAGAUGGACCUGCGCCGUAUUAGCUAGUUGGUAAGGUAACGGCUUACCAAGGCAACGAUACGUAGCCGACCUGAGAGGGUGAUCGGCCACACUGGAACUGAGACACGGACCAGACUCCUACGGGAGGCAGCAGUAGGGAAUCUGCCGCAGUGGGCGAAAGCCUGACGGAGCGACGCCGCGUGAGUGAUGAAGGUCUUCGGAUCGUAAAACUCUGUUAUUAGGGAUGAACAAACGUGUAAGUAACUGUGCACGUCUUGACGGUACCUAAUCAGAAAGCCACGGCUAACUACGUG